rnacentral:rRNA from 1 species
CAAUAGCGUAUAUUUAAGUUGUUGUAGUUAAAAAGCUCGUAGUUGGAUUUCGGUUAAGAGCGACCGGUCCGCCGUUUGGUGUGCACUGGUUGGUUUUAACUUCCUGUAGAGGACGUGCUCUGGGUUUAACGACCUGGACUCGGAGUCUACGUGGUUACUUUGAAAAAAUUAGAGUGUUCAAAGCGGGCUUACGCUUGAAUAUUUCAGCAUGGAAUAACACUAUAGGACUCCUGUCCUAUUUCGUUGGUCUCGGGACGGGAGUAAUGAUUAAGAGGAACAGUUGGGGGCAUUCGUAUUUCAUUGUCAGAGGUGAAAUUCUUGGAUUUAUGAAAGACGAACUUCUGCGAAAGCAUUUGCCAAGGAUGUUUUCAUUA